AGAUUGAACGCUGGCGGCAUGCUUUACACAUGCAAGUCGAACGGUAACAGGCCGCAAGGUGCUGACGAGUGGCGAACGGGUGAGUAAUGUAUCGGAACGUGCCCAGUCGUGGGGGAUAACGCAGCGAAAGCUGCGCUAAUACCGCAUACGAUCUAUGGAUGAAAGCGGGGGACCGUAAGGCCUCGCGCGAUUGGAGCGGCCGAUAUCAGAUUAGGUAGUUGGUAGGGGUAAAGGCUCACCAAGCCAACGAUCUGUAGCUGGUCUGAGAGGACGACCAGCC
rnacentral:rRNA from 1 species